UACAGAGGUCUCAAGCGUUGUUCGGAUUCAUUGGGCGUAAAGGGUGCGUAGGCGGCGCGGUAAGUCGGGUGUGAAAUCUCGGAGCUUAACUCCGAAACUGCAUUCGAUACUGCCGUGCUUUGAGGACUGGAGAGGAGACUGGAAUUUACGGUGUAGCGGUGAAAUGCGUAGAUAUCGUAAGGAAGACCAGUGGCGAAGGCGGGUCUCUGGACAGUUCCUGACGUGAGGCACGAAAGGUCAGGGGGAGCAAAACGGGG
rnacentral:rRNA from 1 species